AACUGGGAUUAGAUACCCCACUAUGCUUAGCCCUAAACUUAAAUAAUUCUACAACAAAAUUACUCGCCAGAGAACUACAAGCCAGAGCUUGAAACUCAAAGGACUUGGCGGUGCUUUAUACCCACCUAGAGGAGCCUGUUCUAUAAUCGAUAUACCCCGAUAAACCUUACCACUCUUUGCCAACUCAGCCUAUAUACCGCCAUCUUCAGCGAACCCUGAAAAGGAAUAAAAGUAAGCUCAAUUACCCCCGUAAAAACGUUAGGUCAAGGUGUAGCCUAUAGAGUGGAAAGUAAUGGGCUACAUUUUCUUCUUAAGAACAUACGAAAGCCCUUAUGAAACUCUAAGAGCCAAAGGAGGAUUU
rnacentral:rRNA from 1 species